UUAUUUUUCUUAUUAGGAUGAAAUCAUCUUCAUAGAAAAAUCCACUUUAAAUAACAUAUUUUAACUUUAAAAAAUUAAAACAAACCUUAUAUUUCACAUAAAUUUCAAUAUUUUCCUCAUAUCUAUAUUUUUCUUUUCAUUUCCCUAAACAGCAUUUGAAUCUAAGUUGCUUUUAUUAUUAACCCAUUAUUUGUUACAAGGUCAAAGCAAACUUUUCCCUGUUUACAAUUAUAUAGCUUUUAAAGGUAUGUCUUAAUGGUCUUACAUAUCCUAAAAGAAAGAAUAUUUGUAUUUUGGGAAGAGCUUCAAUGAUAUUCAUGACCUUGAAUUGGUGUUUAUUUCUAAAAGAAAUGAAAAGUGAGAGAGGAAUCCAAAGAAGUAAACACCUUUAUUUAUUUUUAGCCAUACAUAUGUGUGCACAUAUGUAUUUUUUCUUGAUUAAAAUGUUAAAUAAAAUAAUACAUUGCAAUAACAAAUAUACCAAUUUUUUUAAGAAGCUAUGUCUAGAAAAGAUGCUUAGGCAAUAUCUUGGUUGCACGUUCAGUGUAUGUAAAGUCUUUUUCAUUAUUGAAUAAAUCGGCCCUUCCUCCACUUUUAUGUUUUACCUUGUACACCUGAAGUUUUCCAGACAACCUUGAGGUCUCAUAUAAUUAUAAUAAAGUUGUAGAUAACCACCAAGAGGACUGACUACACACUCAGGUAAAGCUAGACCUCUAUCGAUGGGAAUCAUUCAACUUAAAAGAUAGUAUGCACACCAGCUGAUAUGAGACCCCACAACGAACAGGACUUCUAGGUCAGUCUUCAUCCAGAGAUGAUACACCUAACCCUCAAGAGACUG
rnacentral:lncRNA from 1 species